rnacentral:piRNA from 1 species
CCAGUGAACCAGAAAUGGUAGACCUGU